rnacentral:rRNA from 1 species
GACGAACGCUGGCGGCGUGCCUAAUACAUGCAAGUUGAGCGCUGAAGGUUGGUACUUGUACCAACUGGAUGAGCAGCGAACGGGUGAGUAACGCGUGGGGAAUCUGCCUUUGAGCGGGGGACAACAUUUGGAAACGAAUGCUAAUACCGCAUAAAAACUUUAAACACAAGUUUUAAGUUUGAAUGAUGCAAUUGCAUCACUCAAAGAUGAUCCCGCGUUGUAUUAGCUAGUUGGUGAGGUAAAGGCUCACCAAGGCGAUGAUACAUAGCCGACCUGAGAGGGUGAUCGGCCACAUUGGGACUGAGACACGGCCCAAACUCCUACGGGAGGCAGCAGUAGGGAAUCUUCGGCAAUGGACGAAAGUCUGACCGAGCAACGCCGCGUGAGGGAAGAAGGGUUUCGGAUCGUAAAACUCUGUUGGUAGAGAAGAACGUUGGUGAGGGUGGAAAGCUCAUCAAGUGACGGUAACUACCCAGAAAGGGACGGCUAACUACGUG